AGCUUUGCGCAGGGGCGAUAACGUGACCAGUGAGAUUCUGCCGAUGUGUGUUUAUUGCUGGCUGGAAAUAAUG
rnacentral:snRNA from 1 species